GAUUGCUCUUCUUGGAGUCUUCUCAGUAAGCUUAGGACAAGGAAAUGACUGAAAGAAAGCAACACCUGAACGAUGUGGAAUGUGCUGGGGCACAGUGAAGUGGUCCUGAGGAAGCUGUGUGUGAGCAAGCAAUGCUGCAGAGGUGCUGUGUGGGCCAACAAGAACACCUGCAAUGAGGUGGCACAGGGAGGUAUAUUUCUGCUUAAGCACAAGUCAGCAACCAUGUGUUUAGGAACAGAGUUGGCAUGCUGGGAGCAGUGACGUGCUGGAAGUAGAAAUUGUUCAGUGUAAAAAUUCAUAGGAUCAUUAAGGUUGGAAGAAGAUAUCUAAGGUCAUCAAUCCCAACUGUCAACCCAUCCACCACAAUGCUCACUAAAACACAUCUGUACUGCCUUAUGUAGGAAGGAAAAUGGUCUGCUGCCUGUUUGUCUCCUUUGCCUCAUGAAACGUGGCUCGGGCUUUUUGCAUGUAAGCCUAUGGAGCGUAUGGUUGUACAGAAGAGCCUGCUUUUUGGUUGUUUGUUUUUUGCUUUUUUUAACCUUUUCUCACAGUAGAAAGCCAUCGUGUCUGUUAAAACAGUGAAAAAUUGAGAGGCUAAUUGUUGCUGCUAAAUGCAAUAAAGUAGUACUUUGGGCUCUCAGGCAUGUUUUAUGACCGAUAUGGCAAUUACUGAAUAAAAUCCCAUGCCCCAGAAUGUUUAUUUGCGUAAACAACUUAUGGUUAUUUAUUCAUAUUUUAUGAAUAUUUUUUUCAAAAUUGUAUUAACCAUCCCUUGUGGUACAAAAUACAGUUGGUUGGGGGAAAAAAAAAUAUAUGCCACAUGCUAAAUGGAAGGAUCCAUUGAGAAUCUAGUCCUGAAUGUGUUUAAAGCCCUGUUUUAUUCAGCAUGAUUAGCUGUGUUACAAGCCACCAUUAUGUUCUGGCAAGCUCUGUCUGAUUUGAAGCAGUCCUUGCUUUCCUCACAAUAACACUUUACUUGCUGGUCUCUUACCAUGCUGGUUGGCUGGCUCAUUUAAAACCUCUCACAUAAGCUCAGACCAGGGUUCAACCAAGAUACUUUCCAGCUGGUGCUGGUGGCAUUUGACAGCUUUUCUUCAUGAUUGAGUCAUGUAAGAGCUGAAGACAAGGGGAGAAACAGAAGUAGAUCUUGGACCUCAGCAUGGAUGCUCUACAAAUGGCUGCAUUUGUUGUUCUUUAAUUCUCAUGAUCUUUUGCUAUUAAAAUUCAGUUGAGGCUAAAAAAGAAAACAACCCUAUUUAUUAUCAAAAUCAGGCAGUAGGUAGUCAAAUGGUAGAAUAAAUACUGCUAUCUGUCUGUGAAACAAGAAUCCACAUCAUGGACAGCUCUGCUAACAUACUAAAUUAAAUUAUUUCAGGGUAGUUAUGUGCAUGUCUGGUUUUACAUAAGGUUAUGUGAUUGCAUUAUUUGUGGUCAUUCAAAAUCCUUGGGUGUUCUUUUACAAGAGUAUGGUGUUGCGUGCAGCUGGAAGAUAAUUAAAGUGCUUUGCUAAUUA